GCCCAGCAUUUGAUGUAGAAGUAUGAGGGUGAGACCUGCCCCAUGGUUGUAUCUAAAGGGGUCGGUAGGGCCGAAAUUAUAAAGACAAUUGAAUGGCUGCGGUAACUGUGACCGUGAAAAUGUAGCGUAAUCAAUAGUCAAUUAAUUGUUGGCCGGUAUGAAUGGUGUCACGAAGGCCUCACUGUCUUAAGAAAAUCCCCUGUGAAAUUGAAUUUGUAGUGAAGAUGCUACAUUCAAAUUGUUAGACGAAAAGUCCCCAUGGAACUUUACUGGAGACUUAUGUGGUCUAUCUGACGAAUAGAUAGUUUAGAUUAGGUGGUGUUAACUGUUGUUAGUAAAAUUCACUCUUUUAUUUUAAGAGGGCUAACUCUUCUUUUGAAUAAAGUUAGAUUCUGGGUACCCACCACUUUUAGAGUGUAAUUUCUGGGUUAGAGAAAUGAGGUAAGUUAGACAGUUUGGUUGGGGCGAUCGCCUUUUAAAAAGUAACGAAGGUGGGCUUAAGAUACAUAUUUAAUAGUUGUCGUCUGACUGUGAAGGGGGAGCCCUGAGCAGACACUAAAAAGAGCCUUGUGCGGGUAAUGGUGGGUUGCAGUGACCCGUUAAUUUAAGGUGAAAGAGUUAACGAUAAACAAAUAAAAGUUACCCUGGGGAUAACAGCGCAAUAACGUUUGAGGGGUUUUCUUGAUGACGAUGUUUGCGACCUCGAUGUUGAAUUGCGGCAUCCUGGGGUGCAGUCGCUCCCAAGGGUGGGUCUGUUCGUCCAUUAAAGCCUUACAUGAUUUGGUUUCCUUUCGGU
rnacentral:rRNA from 1 species